AGUGAACGCUGGCAGUAGGCCUAACACAUGCAAGUCGAACGGCAGCACAGUAAGAGCUUGCUAUUACGGGUGGCGAGUGGAGGAAGGGUGAGGAAUACAUCGGAAUCUACUUUUUCGUGGGGGAUAACGUAGGGAAACUUACGCAAAUACCGCAUACGACCUACGGGUGAAAGCAGGGCAUCUUCGGACCUUGCGCGAUUGAAUGAGACGAUGUCGGAUUAGGUAGUUGGCGGGGUAAAGGCCCACCACGGCGACGAUCCGUAGCUGGUCUGAGAGGAUGAUCAGCCACACUGGAACUGAGACACGGUCCAGACUCCUACGGGAGGCAGCAGUGGGGAAUAUUGGACAAUGGGCGCAAACCUGAUCCAGCCAUACCGCGUGUGUGAAGAAGGCAUUCGGGUUGUAAAGCCCUUUUGUUGGGAAAGAAAAGCAGCAGGUUAAUACCCCGCUGUUCUGACGGUACCCAAAGAAUAAGCACCGGCUAACUUCGUG
rnacentral:rRNA from 1 species